CCGGGACUGGGAGCCUCCCAGGUGCUACAUCCGCAUCAUCAGCCUCAGGCCUCCCUUGGGGCCUCUCCCUUCAAACCACAGCAUCCUCAUCCCACCCCACCCCCAGGUAGGAUGCUGGUCGCUCAGCCUGGAGAGACCUUUUUAAUUUGAGGAUAAACAGACUGUCAUCCUGGCUCGGCCCUCUGUGGGCUUGCUGCUCCCCGCCCCCCUCAAUCCGCAGUGCACAGCCGCUCUGUUCUCCUGCCAACUUGGCAGCUCGUUGCUGCUGUUACUAUCAACACCUCUGAGGGAAAAAGGAGAGGAGUCGGUUCUGAUCGCCUAGUGCACUGAGCAACACAUUCAUACCGAGCCUGAGCACUCUGGAAUGUUUCCCGAGCUCCGAAGACUCCGGGUGGGGCAAGAAAGGUGGGAUCUGUGUUGCAGAGAACAGAUGGGCCGGAAAUCAGCCUGAGCUCGGAUCCGAUCAGCCCCAGUAGGAGCAGCGCUUUAGCAGAGAGACUGAAACCAGUCGAGGACACACACAAACCCGCCCCUCCUCCCCACCUCCCACCCCCGCCCCUGCUCCCCACCUCAGGGAGUACUGGGAGGGAAUAAGAAGAGCUGCUGAAGGUUGUGGCUGGAGCCUCAGAGGUACAGGACCGGAAUAUCGGUAAAUGGAUCUUGCUGUUACCUCAUCUCUUGUCACAGUCCAAAUAACAUGGAUGGCUUCAGUUCAAGAGAUGGUAGAUCAGGGUUUUGUGGUGUGGGUAGGAAAAUGCUUUUGGGAUUUUGUUUAGGGAUGUAUGAAGAACUGGGUCUUUUUCUUUCACCAUCCUUGGACUCCAUGUCUCCUUUACCAGUUCAGACCGGGUGCUAGAAUGAGCACACUUUCUUUACCGGUUGAAAGCUUCCAGGGUCAGCCUUUUCCUUUACCCAAACCCACUCAGAGCCACUCAGGCCCAGCCCUCUGACUUCCCCAAGCUGCUAGUUAGUGCCUUUCUCAGCCGUGGGUUAGGACUCCCAGGGAGGAGGGGCUGUUGGGAAGAACAAAGAAUAUCUUCAGAGACAGAAAGCCCACUCUAAAGCAAAGGCCUGCUGAUAACUCCAGUCACUCAGUCACUCCUGACAGGAUCAAGAGGUGUUCAUUGUGCUGCUUUCCCCGGAGGAAUGCCUCUCCAGCCCUCUCCCUGGUAGCUAAGGUAAAGCCUGAACUUCCUGACUUUAGUCUCAGCCACAAGGGCUGGCUUGGGACUAGCUCCUGAAUUCCAUACCAGUGGUCUGCCCAACCCACCCGAAAAUGUGGUCCUGGUUCCUAGUCGGGUGUGUGUGGGGAGGGACGAUCAUCAGCCUGUUCGCUUUUCUAUAACACAGAGAAGUCAGGCACCUCAAUGGGCUGCAGACUACAGAAUGAAGACCUAAAACUGAGGCUUGUAUACAACUGGAAUGUGCCCUCCUUUUCUAUGCUGCUCUCCCUCUACCCUCCCUAGAAGCCCUUUUUCAGAUGUGAAACUGAUACCAAGAUUAUUUCCAGCCCUGGGAAUCUGAACCCUCUCACCUUCCUGGUAAGAACUACCCAGCUACCCAAGAAAACCUUCAGACUAUCUCAGGGCCUGAGAACAGGAAAGAGGACUCAGUCAGCAGGCUGGAAUUGAAAUAAGCCAUGAGAGGCUGUGCCAUUCCGGGCUGCACCUGUGAGCAGCCCCUCCAAUGAAGCCCUGUCAGCGUUUCCAUGACAAACUCAUAUUUCCGGAUGCUUCUCUUCCAGCUUGAAGAGCUUGUCUCUCGGCGAGGCUUGAUACUGAAAGUGCAUUCAGAUUUUCACACCCCCCCCCAAAAAAAGAUUGUACACCCCAUAAAAACUUACAACCUGGGGUUGGGGAUUUAGCUCAGUGGUAGAGUGCUUACCUAGGAAGCGCAAGGCCCUGGGUUCGGUCCCCAGCUCCGAAAAAAAGAACCAAAAAAAAAAAAAAAAACAAAAAAAAAAAAAACCCUUACAUCCUCCUUGUAUGUAUUUGCUCUUUAUUUUGAGUUUGAUGGCAUAACCUUUGUUCUGGUGAAAAUAAGCAACACACACAGAGGAAGACUCGAGGAGAACCGCUAACGACUACAUGGGGCCAGCACACAGUGUGUAAGACCUCUCUUUGCAAGAGAUCCUCUGCUUCCAUUUGCUUGUCUCAAAGCCAAAAGUGAUUUCUACUUUUGAGUUUGAAGGACUCCCCAGCUCCAGGUGUCCAUUGGCCUCUAACAGAGGCUGACUCCAGAAGGUCACCAGCUCCCAGCUGGCAAUGGAUGAGUGGAAGGAUUUUGAGGUACCUCGAAGGUCAGUGGAAGGGCAGAAAGGGCCUUUCAGUAGGAGCUUUUCACCGGCUCGACGUUGCUACUCUCCAGUACAUUAGCAUCACAAGAUCGAAACAGAAAACUCGGGUAUAUCCCAAAGGUAGGACAAGUCAGCAGUCAGCAAACUCCAGCAAUUCUGGGAAAAGCUUUUCCGUCUCCCAAGUCCAUAUCUGUUCUCCUUUCCUGAACCGAUGGGACUGGAACACUAUCUUCCCGAGUGUGACACUUCACUGGAAGGGAAGGGUAGCUUUGCCUUUAAGGCAAGCGUAAAUUUCAAAAAAAAAAAAAAUACUUCCUCAAAGAGGUAAUUCGGCUAAAUUUGACAUUAUUACUUCCAUUAUGUGCUGUACUAAACCCAUGAGGUGAUAUUUCGAUCCUAGCUCUUCCCCUUGUACAUGAAUACAUUGGGUACCAAGGGAAGGAAGAAAAACUGCUGAGGACUGGGGAAAGGUAUGUCUGAAGGGGUCUGGGACAACAGAUCUGUCAGUAAUGUGCUAGCUUUGCAAGCCUGAGAACCGGUGUCUGACCCCCAGCACCCACAUAAGAGGCCUGGCACAGCAGCCACACGCUGGCGGUACUAGAGCUUUAGACUCAGAGACAGUGGGUUCCUUCCAAACCCUCCUCAGCCAGCUUGUCACAAUUAGGUCCAUGUCUGGUAAGAACCCUGUACCAAAGAGCAAGCAAGGCAGUUCCUGAAGAAUGUUUACAUGGACCUCUGGCCUCUACCUGCAUUCACGGGCACAGCCAGAGCGCGCAUGCGCACACUCACAAACCCAAAAGGAAGAGGCUGCUCAUUCUGGGCUCCGGUGAGACUCUGGCUUAGAGAAACAAGCAGCGUCUGGAAGGUAACACUGGAGAAGGAGAGAAGACGGGAGGAGGGCAGAGGCGUUGAGAAUUAAACCUGAGGCUUACUCUAAUUUUUAGGGCUAUAAAAAGGGAGAAAGUGGGUCUGGACAACUAGUCGAGAAGGAAACAGCUAGUGAGGCAGGAGGAUGACUCUAGAGUCCUGCGAGCAACUAGAGAAAAUGGAGAAGUCAAAAAGAGAGGCACAGGGUAAUAAAGAGCAAAAUCUUACUGAUGGGUCAAGCAAGAAAGGAAAAUUUCUCCAUCAAAUCUGUCAACGAGGAAGUCAUUGGCGACCUUGGAAAGCGAGGUUUUCAUGUCACAGUUAUGACAAAAGCUCGGACCGUAAUGAGAUUAGGAAGUGAAGUAGAAACGGUAUAAAUGUCUUUUCCUUUUUAAAAGUUUUAUUAGCAGGGCAGUGGUGGCACACACCUUUAAUCCCAGCACUUGGGAGGCAGAGGCAGAAGCAGGUAGAGUUUAAGGCCAGCCUGGUCUACAAAGUGAGUUGCAGGAUAGCCAGGGCUACACGGACAAAUGAUAUUUCAAAACCAACAACAACGAAGACUUAUUAUUAUCAUUUAAAAAUAUUUUUUAUCUUAUGUGUAUGAGUGUUUGGCCUGUAUGUAUGUCUGGUCACUACAUGCAUGCCUAGUGCCAACAGAACCUAGAAAAGGGCAUCAGCUCCCCUAGGAGCGGAGUUAUAGAUGAUUAUCAGCACCAUUUGUGUGCUGGGGAUUGAACCCAGGACCUCUGGAAGAGCAACCAAUGGUCUUAAUAGUUGAGUCAUCUACCUAGCACUAUUCUUACCAUUUAAGCAUGUGUGUGUGUGUGUGUGUGUGUGUGUGUGUGCGCAUUUGUGUGUGUAUUUGUAUUUGUGUGUGUGCACACGUAUCAGUGCUUUCGCGUGCUGGUGCUCCUGGAUCCCAGGGACCUCAGAUUCCCCUGGAACUGGGUGCUCAGAAUCAAACGCAGGUCAUCUGUGCCCACUCGACGUUGUGAGCCAUCUCUCCAGCACCAGCACCACGCAGUAUAAAUUUGUCGUCGUUGUUUGUUUGAAAUAGUAUCUCUCUCUCCCCUAAUUGGCCCGGAACUCACAGAGAUCCACCUGCCUCUGUCUCCCAAGUACUAAGAUUAAAGGUGAGCGUCACCAUGCCCGGCUGACGGGAGAUAUUUUUAAACUGCGGUUAAGCCUGGGUAGCAGAUAAAUGGUGACGUGAAUGAGGGGGACUGGAAGAUUUUUUUUUUUGAAGAUGAGUUUUUAUAUCCCAUUAGUAUGCUGAUGAGAACAAUCCCCUUGAGAGAGAACAUUUGAUGAUGCAGAUGAGAGGAUAAUUGCCGGAGUGAUGCCUUUAAUAAGCAAGCGAGGGAAAGAAUUCCGUACAAGAGGCGGGGCUAGCCAAGACAGACAUGUGGACAGUCCAUUCACAGCACACAGAGGGCAGGCACAGUGUGUGGGCCUGCCCAGGGGAAGUAGGUAUUUUUGGUAUUGGAUAAGGAUUAUUUUUUGACUUCUUUCUUCUAAGUGGGAAGAAAAUGAUGUCAUAAACUGGGAGCGAGAUGUGGGCCGAGCUAUGUGGAGGCCUGAGACGAGAGAUGUGUCGUGGCCGCAAUCGCAAGGAUUAAGAAAGUUGGUCCAGUAUGGCCGUGCACCCCUUCCAUCCCAGCACUUGAAGGGCAGAGGCGGGUGAUUCUUAGUAAGUUCAAGACCAGCCUGGUCUACACAGUGAGCUCCAGGACAGCCAGGGCUAGGUAGAUACCCUGUCUCAGGGGAAAAAAAAAACACCAAAAAACAAAAAAAACAAGAGAAAGAGACUGAGACUUGCCCUAGAAGACUGCAGAAUUGCUGGGCAGGAGGUAGUCUGACAGAUUGGCAGUGAUAGUUAACCAAAGAGAUGCAGUUCCUCUCCAGGAGACUUCUCCACAGGCUGCCUAGUGUGUCCUUAUGACUGGCUCCUCUGGAGCUUCAGUCCAAGAGGGAGAACUGAGCGGACCAUAUAGAUUCUUCGUUGACCUGCUCAGAACUCGAAAUUCAUUACCUGGCUACACUUUGCAUUUAGGAGCAGGUCACCAAGUCCACUCGACCUCCCAGAGAGUAGACUGUGACUUCUGAAGGGAGGACUGCCCAGGGGAUUGAGUGAGUGAGUGCUCCACCCCAGAUUCGCAUGUCAAAGCCCUAACUCACGCUGUGGCUGCACUUGGAGAGAUGCUUCUAAAGUAGUAAUCAUAUAGGCUCACGUAACCCAGGCUGGCCUCGUCUUGUGUAACUGGGAUGAGGCUGAAGUUCCUGGCCUCUUGGCUUCAGCUUCCUAGUGUGGGUUUUAGAUCUGAGCCCCCUUGACUGGUUUAUGUGCCGUGCUGGUGUUCAAAUCUAGGGCUUCACACAUUCCAGGUAAGCACUCAACCCACUGAGCCACAACUCCAGCCCCUCAACUACUGAUAAAUGGUAAAGACGCAUUCUGAGAAAUGGGUCGGUAGGCAAUUUUAUUUUAUAAACUUAACUUGCGCAAACGAAAGAGGACUGUGACGUCACCUGAUGAUAUAACCUUAGGGGACUUCCACCCUACAUUUGGCCCAUCAUUGAUAGAAAUGUCAUUUAAUCUGCAUGACUAUAAUGAAGGUUGGAUGAGAUACUGAAGGCAAGGCUCUGCUCUGACAGGAGUCAUGUCCUCUGUGUGUGUGCGCGAACACAUAUAUGUGACAUAUGUGUUGUAUGCACACUUGUAUAGGUGGCUCUAUGUACCCCUGUGCACACAUGAGAAAAGUCAGAGGAUGGUUCUGAUGUCUUUCUCUAUUACUCUUUAUCUCUGUGUUCUUGUUUGGCUAGUUGGUUUGAGUCAUUUUAUUUUACUUUAUUUUAUUUUUUGAGAGAAAGAGAGGAUUUCUCACUGAAAUGUCUCCCUUUUGGCUGUUAGCUUAUAGAUCUAGAGCUCUACCUGGACUAUGUUAGGCUUCAAACAGGAACAAAUGGCUGAGGUCCCUAUUUAACGUAUCAAAUAGGACCUGGCCACCAGGCUGUCCCAGCAUCCCUCAGUCCCGACCUGUAACAGGGCCCUCCUAGCUGGUAUACCCCAGCCCCUAACCUCAAUUCUCCAGUUCAGGGGGCUGGGCUGCUCUUCCCUAUAUAAACCAGCCAUUCUGAUUACCCAUUCUUUGUACUUUUGGGCCUCCUGGCUGCUGCAUCUUGGCCCCCUCUCUCCCCUCUGCCUCCCCCCUACCUCUCCUCAAAUGACCUAGCUCAGUCUGGUCAUUGUCCACCUUGGACUCCCUCAGAAGUCCCUGUGCCUACCUAUGCUUUCCUUUUUCUCUGUAAUAAGCCUUCUCUUCCCCCAUACCCAAGAGCAGUAGUCAUGUUUCCCUUCGUUUUCUUUCUUUUAUUCAUUCAUUUGGUGCCGAAACCCGGAAAUGGCAUAAAUGUAAAUUCCUGACCCCAGGAACUCAGCCAUUCUGAACCAAGCAGCGGACCUGACUCUGCUAAGGUGUGCAUGGUUCACUUGUUUCCACUGGCUCCUGCCGCUCACAAAAUUUGAUUCCUAGUCCUAGAGGUUGGCCGGGUGUGGUGAUGCUCGCCUUUAAUCCCAGUAUUCCGGAGGCAGACACAGGUGAAUGUCUGUGAGUUCUAGGCCUAUCUGGUCUACAGAGAGAGUUCCAGAACAGUCAAGAACACAGAACACAGAGAGACCUUAUCUUAAAAGUAAAAAACAAACCAACCAAACUUUUGAGUCCAAUUCUUCAGCUGGUGUCCCCUCUCCCUGCUCUUUCUCCUGCUGCCUCACCUCUCCUUCUUUAGUGGAUAAAUAUCACCCCUAGCUGCCAUUUUUGCCUGCUACAAUUGCGACACAGGUGUGUCAGGAAGCUCCUUUCUCCCUCACUGGGCUCCAGUCACAAGGACCAGGGACACCUCUUUGUAAUUUGAAACAUCUUUCUCCUGGACAAAUUUACUGUUCUACUUGGGGAUGCCCCGACGGAAAUUCUUGCCACCUCUGCACUUGACACUAUCCACUUCAGCUACUCCCAUCUCUUAGCUCUGGCCUGCUACGCCCAUCUGGCUCUCUUUAGCUUUCUCUUGCCUUACAACCUGCCUGCAGUGCCACUAUGCUAUCCCUUGCUCCAGCCUGCAGUGCCACUAUGCUAUCUUUUGCUCCAUGCAGUGCCACUAUGCUAUCCCUUGCUCCAGCCUGCUUGCUUGCAUGCUCUCCACUCCUUUUUGGAGCUUCUAGAACAUACCCUCCCCUGCAUGUGCCAUUCUCUCUCUCUCUCUCUCUCUCUCUCUCUCUCUCUCUCUCUCUCUCUCUCCUCUCUCUCUCUCUCUCUCCCUCCCUCCCUCCCUCCCUCCCUCCCUCCCUCCCUCCCUCCCUCCCUCCACAGGCUCAUAUUAGUGCUACAGCUUGGCCUCAGUACAGAUCAAUGACUAGCACACAACGAUCCCAAAGUCUCUGACACCUCAAGUUCUACAACUUGACAAUCUCAAAAUUCUUUGCUCUCUCUAAUUUCUCCGCUCUGCUCUUAAAAAAAAAAAUAAUCUCUCAGGACUAUGCUAUAUCUUACAAAUAUUUUGUCUUAAGAUUUGUAAAUUCGGACUGGAGAGAUGGCUCAGUGGUUAAGAGCACUGAUUGCUCUUCCAGAGGUCCCUGAGUUCAAUUCCCAGCAACCACAUGGUGGCUCACAACCAUCUGUAAUGCCCUCGUCUGAUAUGUCUGAAGACAGUAGCUACAGUGUACUCCUAUACAUACAAUAAAUAAAUUUUUUUAAAAAAACUUACAACAAAAGGCUUAUAAUUAAAACCUAAACAUAAGAAUUUUAAUUUGUCGCAACAUCUUAUAUAUGUGAUUUAAUACUAGUGUAGAAUAUACCAUAUAUGUAACAUAGAUUCAACUCUUGUUUAGGAAAAAUUGUAUUUGAAUAGCAACCAUGUAGUUCUCCUCCAUCUUGGUGAUAACCUUUACCAAGAUGUAAGCAACCAAAUGCUGGCAGCCAUUUGUGUCAUGUGACUUCACUGUCUUCAGAUGACCACAUGGUUUAAAACGAUUAUAUAUAAAACUUCUCAGGCCUACUGAGCCCCGCCUUUAUCGUUGAUCAUCUUUUCUAGACUGAGGAAAGAACAGCCCUAAACAGUCUCUAAAAUAUUUUGGAUUGGUAUGGAUUUUUGUCUGAUGACAAAAUUUAAGUUAUAGAGGUUUACUCAGAUUAACAAAAGCUGAUUUAAGAUAUAUGCCUUAACUAUUUAUGCCUUUGCUAGUUGUUCAACACCAGGCUUCUAGAGAAUUUAGAUAAGUCACAACAUACAUUUGAUAAAUAAGGGGUGCUCGCUUCGGCAGCACAUAUGCUAAAACUGGAACGAUAAAUAAGGUAUAUUUGAUAGUAAGGUUAUCAAUCUGUAAGGUCUACUUAGGUCCACAGUGGUAUCUAACUUUUUCAUCUUUGUUCACGGCAUUAAGCUUUAGCUAUUUGGAGAAACCAAGUCAUAUGAAAAAAAUCAUAAUAAUUCUAUUUGGAUGCUGAAGGUGAUCCAAUUAAAUCUUCAACUCCAACUAUUAAGACGCAAACCCAACAGGGAUAAAGCUCUAAAAUCCUAACCUUAUAUAAGCUACCAGCUUAUAAGCUAUUCAUUUAGUAACAAGCUUUAGUUAGCUCCCUAUAAGUAUACUUAAUAAAGAGGCGGCCCUCAAACACUUCAGAGAGCUUCUGAAUAUGGCAUUUAAAAUGCUUAGGCUUCUGUGGGGCUGGAGGGAUGGCUCAGUGGCUAAGAGAACUGGCUGCUCUUCCGGAGGACCAGGAUUGAAUUCCAGCACCCACCGUGGUAGCUCAAAACUGUCUGUAGCUCCAAGAUCUGACACCCUCACCUAGAUAUACAUUCAGGAAGGACACCGAUGCACAUAAAAUAAGAAAUAAAUUAUUAAAAUGUUUAAGCUUCUGUGGAGAGCUUUCGGGGCUGCUUCUAGGAAUUUGGCAGGAAUUUGACAUUGGGCUAGGACAAGGAAGUAGGCUCAAGAUGAGUACAGCUGAGGACUGUGUUCUUUGUGUCCUGAUGGGUCUGGUUAAGACUCUGAAUACAGUAAUCACAGGACCUUUGUUUAUGCUUUGUUUGUUCCUUAACUACUCUGUUUAUGCCUUAGGACUGACCAUAUUCUUUGUAUGUAUCUAGAGUGAUAUAAAAGCAGACUGGAAAAAAAUUAAACACGCUUCAGCCUCAGCACUGGGCUGGAGGCAUGUUAUAAUGUUGUCUAAUUGUCUUUUUCUUUUCUCCCUCCUCCCUGGAUACUCUGUUGACUGACUGAGCUGGCUUGGUCAAACUUCCCCUAAUAGACAGAACUGCCUCCUAGCGGGAACCCCAUGGUCUCCAAAGAAGAUAUACGGAUAUACGAGGCACAAGGACUCCACCAGGAUUGUGGUAGUGCUAACCACUGGGAUAAACUGUUCCAUGCCUCAUCUGCUGUCAGUGCUCUUCUCAAACUGUGGGCAUUUUUUUUGGGUUGAUUGCCCUAUUUUGCCUGGUCAAAGUAAGGUCAGUUCUCCCAAGUUCCCCUUUAGGAAAAAAAAAUCUCUCAGAUCUGACAGCCAAAGGCCUAUGCUCCUCUGUAUGACAGCUAAAGAUUUGGCUAUGUGAUGGCCGAAGACUAACCACUGCCCCCAACGAAACUCUGAAGACCACUGGACCCCAAGGUAACCCGUCUCAUGUAAUGGGGAAGUCUCUGUCAUUCCAGGUAUAAUCUCUCCUCAGAUCUCUGAGGAUAUGGACUGACUGUAGCUUUAACAGCAACAAGCAUACCAGCUCCUCCCCCAAGGCUUCAGCUGCCUUCCCAGUUCUCUUCCUAGGUAAAGACCAGGCCUGAGGCCUCACUCACCUAGAGUUUCUGCUGUAGAGAUUCUGGGCCUUGCUACCAGGCUCCAAAAAGAGAUAAACUCACUAAAGAGGUUUCAAAGUAACUUUUUACCAUUCCUUUCUUUUUUUCUUUUUUUUUUUUUUUUGGAGCUGGGGACCGAACCCAGGGCCUUGGGCUUGCUAGGCAAGUGCUCUACCGCUGAGCUAAAUCCCCAACCCCACCAUUCCUUUCUUUAAGGGGACUCUUUGCAAUAACUGCACUCCUGCAGUCACCCCUGGGUCCUCAUGGUAAACAACAGGAUGUAAAAGAAAAAGUGAUUCAAUCUUUAUUAAGACUUCAAAAGUUCAGAGUUUAAACAUUAAUCAGCGGAGUUCUGAUAAGCCAUCAAUCUAGCUCUGCUAAAGUACUUGUUAAUAGUAUCGUAGUCAAAUUUAAAAUGUUAGAUUUUCCUUUGGUCGUUUCCUAAGUACAGACUUAAAAAUGCUUCUCAGUUUGCCAAAGGCAUCUCUGUCCAGUCUAUAUACACAGCACUCUGGAGAGAGUGUUCAUGCUUCUAACCCAAAAUCAUUUUGGCAUUCCCACACUUUUACUUCCAUUCAGAGGCACGAGUCUACUGCUCUUUCCCACAGUGCAGAUUUCAGUACAUAUUACAAAAGUGGUGAUGCUAACAACAUCAGAACUUUUGUUUUUAUAAUCUUAAAAAAAAAAAAAUCUUGUAAGCUGCUGGACCCACCUCUCACAGGUCAAAUGGACCCCAAAUAAGUACUCGUGUCAAACAACAGCCUAAAUUUUAAUGCCCACUGCCUGUUCCUGAGGGUGGGAUCUUUCUCCCUUUUCCUGAUCUUGGAGCUCCCCUCUCCAGCUACCUUUGAGGACCCUGGGCCUCAAAGUUUCAAAUGUGCACCCAGGAUAAACUUUCCCUUCUUCUCCUAGUCUAUCUGUCCCAGUUGAUUCCAGAUCCGACUAGUCCCCAGCUCCGGGUGCUCCCCCACAACCCACAUCCCAAGCAGCUUCAAGGAGGCUAGCCCCAGGUAAUCCAGCCUCACAAGCUACUCCACAAGGUCCUGCAGAGCCUGGGCAGCCACUUUUCCCAGUCUCAGCCAGCGCACCAGCUUCUUUAGCACACCCCCACCCCUGACGCCCCGCCCUGACAAUGAUGCUCCAAAGUCAGCAGGAAAUAGUAAGAGAGGAGAUUAUGUAUGUGUCCUCCCAUACCAUUCAUCAAUUAUCAACAAAAAGGCUUAGGUUUUUGUUUGUUUUUUUUUUAAUUAACAAACAAACAAAUAGGUCUCGGGUUGGGGAUUUAGCUCAGUGGUAGAGUGCUUGCCUAGCAAGCUCAAGGCCCUGGGUUCGGUCCCCAGCUCUGAAAAAAAAGAAAAAAAAAAAAAAAGAAAGUAAAAAGAAAGUAAAAAAAGAAAUAGGUCUCAAACCUGGGACAAAUGGUGAAGGUGCCUACUAAAGGACCUGGCCUCCAGGUUCUCCCUGCAUCUCUUAGUCACUACCUGUUACAGGGCCCCUGACUAGUAUACCUCACCCGUCUAACCCUGAACUCUCCAGCCCAGGGCUCUGGGCUGUUCCUCCCUAUAAAAUCCACCUGUUUUGGUUACCUGAUUUUUUUUUAUUAAUUAAUUAUUAUUAUUUUUUUUUGUACCUUUGGGCCUCCUGACUGCUACACCUGGUUCCCUUCCCCUCCCUCUCCAUUCGCCUCCUUUCUGCCCCACCUCUCCCCUUCUUCUCUCCCCUCUCUUUUCCCCUCUCUAGUCCUCCCCACAUGACUCAGUUCAGUCUGGUUAUGUACACAGACCCUGGACUCUCCCAGAUGUCCCUGCCUCGGCCCAUACUCUUCCACCUGUCUAUAAUAAACCUUCCCCCACCAUAACUACGAACAGUCACA
ensembl:lncRNA